CGCUUCGUCGGUUCCUAUUUCAGUCCACAAGCGUCCUAGGCAUAAUUCUCUUCUCUCUGCCUCUUUCCUUAUCCAGUCGCUACAUGAGAGCACCAACAGGAGAAUACGAGCCCAACGCGGAGGCGGGGGAGCGGUCGCCGGAUCUUAGUCGGCGCCUCGGCGUUGGCGGAGACGACACCGAAUCUUAGGGUGAGGUGGGGCUAACGCCAAAUCUUGGUUGCUGCAGGGUGGGGCAGUGAAGCAGCGCCACGACCGCGGGCAUCGGAGGACAACCCGAUGGGCCAGCGGCGGCCGGCGGCUCGACGAGCAAAUGAUGCAAUGGAGGCGGCGAGGAGGCUAGAGGAACCGUGGGAGAGGGGAAGAUGGUGCCCCCUUCAGCGCCUUGCUUUCUCUUCAUCGUUGGCAUCGUCUCGACUAGGCCCAAGUGAGGCGCGAGGAUGGCUCGACCUUGGCGCUAGCCUUCGCGCCGGUGAUGCUCUGCCACCGCGAGAGACCGCGGCUGUAGCCGAGAUGACGAGGCGGAGGCGGUACCGUACCAGGUGAAUAAUCCCCUUCUCAUUUCUCUACAGCUCUCAUGUCUUGACGCGAUCAACGCCCCUGCAUGCGAAGAUUCGCCCAAAGAGGGCGCACUACAUGUUCCUAUUUUCCCCCACUGGCAUACAGGCAUAAGAGAUUAUGUUGAUUAGUGAUUCAGAAUGUCUGUAAUUCUGCAUACUGCAAUUUGGAUUGGUAGUGCGGAUGAGGGGGAGGAUUGGCAGCGCCUCUUCUCCUCACGACAGAGAUGGUGCUAAUUCUCCAAGGUCAGAUUGCAUUUUUUUUGUGUAUACGGAAGUGUCAGUUUUUACCGCAAAAUGUAUACUACAAAAGACGAAUCUUUACUCCUUAUACAGAUCCACUUUUCAUAGUUUUACCUGUACAGAAUGAAAUGCAGUCAAAAGCUUUUAUUGGACUUAGGAAUAGUUUGGUUUCAUGCUUGACCAAGAUUCAUUGAGACAAUCAUGUUCGAUACAUAUUUCUACAACGUCACCUGCAAUAACUGUUUCUGGGUAUACUAUAUACAUGAUACAUAACACAACUACUCUCUCUGGUUAAACUCACGGCAUUUUUUGUGUGUGUUUGGGGGGACAUUUGUCCUUACGAGGAAGUAUGUUUUCUCUCAACUCUUUGAUUUUCUUUGUUUGGAGGUUUCUCUAUGUUAACUUGCGAAUGCGAUCAGGGAAUGUCCAAAUUCAGUGGUGCAUGAUGUGCACAUAUUUCUUCCCCUGUUGAUGUUACUUUCAGUUCAUUUUCAGCGGACUUUGGAAUGCCUGCCCUUUUGUAGGUUUCUCUUUUUUCAGCUUGAAUAGUAAAUAAAACGAGUUGAAAACGCAGAGGUAUAUGUUUUGUACACCUUUCCUUAGUUCUGUGGCAUGAUGUUGUUGGGAAGCUGGGGUAGCAAGAUGUACAAGGGUUCUAUGGAUGUCAUUGCAACCCUCCAAUAUUCCAGAUCAAACUGUACCAUAUACUUAACCCUGUUUGUUAAGAGCUAAAGGUCUAUUUUGGGACUCUUUUUUGAAAAUAUGAUACUAAUAUUUAGAUAAAAAUUGUACGAUUUAUAGUGCAAUUGUCACAAAUUUUAAGUUGAUAGGUUGAAAUUACACUGUUUAUACAAUGUGAUAUGUGCCGAUGGACCUAGGGAUCAGGUCGUGUUCUGUGUGUAUUAUUUUUUUUUUGUGUGUGCUCAUCUUCAUUUUGAUUAUUACUUAUGGUCCUGUCGUACUCACUUUGUCCUACAUCCAAUCAUCCAAAUGUGAUGUACCCAAAAAGGAACCUACACGCGAAGAGCAAAAGCGGGCGCAGCAAAGCAUGCAAGGUUCUUCUAGUGCAAGAGAAAGGCGUUGCAUUUGUUCAGUUUUAUACAUUUCCUUUAUUUAUAGGAGAGCCUACUCAGGUAUGAAUAUAUAUUUUUCCCUUUUGGUUUCAGAAAAUCUACAAUACAUUCUAUGUUUAGAAAAGGUUGCAACCUUUUUCCAGUGUUUACAUUUCUCGGCCCCACACUCUUUCAGCUAAAUAGUUCAGUGGCAUAUAUCUCUAUUGAAGUGUUAGAAUAACAGUACAUUAGUUAGGCAAAUGUCCAUGCGAACUUAUAUUUACAGCACGUUCCGUUAUGUGCAGAGUGCAGUCUGUCAAUUCCUAGAGUUUUUCAGACUUUAAUUUACCCUUGAGAUAUAUUUUCUUUGGUCCAACUUGUUUUGAUAAUAGUAAACUACUAUAGAAGGUAUUGCUUUUGGUUGAUGAAGUUCACUGAAACAAAUGUACCUUCCAGUUAGUGUAGGAAAUCUUUCGUUAUUUACGGCAUUCAUCUGAAAAAAAAUCUGUGCAUGGAGGAGGCAAAAUGUCUUCUAUUGUGUUACUUUAUGUCUUUCGAACAUGUGAUGCUGCAAGAAAAUUUUCUCCAGUUUUAUGUUAGAUCUUAUUUUCAAAGUGAUGCAUGAUCAUGUCCCUACUCCCUAAUCCACCUAGAAGACUGCUGUAGUGACUGUAUCUUUGGUUCCGCUUCACACACCUCACUUACAGUCUAAUUUUUGCCUUUCACGACAAGGACUGUAUGAAGUAUACUUAUUUGUUCAGAUACUUCAGUAUCGGAAAAUCUAUUGCAAUUCAUAUAUUUUACGGCAUUUCCCAGGCCAUGUAUAUAUUCUAGAGUAUAGUUACAAUGAACUAGGGUGAAAAUACAGGCAUGCACCUUUCUUUGCAGGCUCUUGUGAAUGGUGUCCCCUGAGCUACGCCCUUUACUAUGACCGAGUGAGGCUCUUGUGAAUGGUGUCCCCUGAGCUACGCCCUUUACUAUGACCGAGUGAGCCAGAGGCACAUCACAGAAUUAAAGUGGAUUUGUAUUAUUUGUUGUACUAUAUGUAUGUACUGAACAAACUAUUCUAAGCUCUCAUACUUGAUAUGUAUUAUUUGUUGUACUAUAUGUAUGUACUGAACAAACUAUCCGAAGCUCUCAUACUUGAGAUUAAAAUCAAUAGAAUCAUUAUUUCCGUAGAUAUUUUUCUGAAUUGACGAUGUGUGUUCUAAAUUACUGUAACUUGGUAGAGUUGUUGUUUCUGAAGAGUUGGUAGAGAGGUU